GUGAAAAAGACUAUAUCUGAAACUUACACUGAAUACGAAUGCACAACAGAUGACCAAAACGUGAAUGAAUUUAGGAUUGACGAUCAGCUGUGUUUAGAUACAAAUAUUAUUAAAGGUGAGAAGAGACUCAAGGAAACACUCCGUAAAAAAACAGACGAAAACAACUAU